AGACGUCUUGCUAACAGCCUCCACUGCAGCCGCCUUCACCGUCCAGCAGGAGGCAGCAGAGACUGAAGCAGACACAGAGGAAGACGAGGAGGAGGAGAUCAGACAGACUGAUGAAGAGGAGCAGACUGAAGAGGCUGAAGAUGAAGAUAGUGUUCUUACCAGUCAUGCUGCUGCUCAUAUGGAUGAAGAGGAGGAUGAAGAGCCGAC